AUGGCGGCUUAUGCCGGUGUCCAGUCAGAGGUUCAGCUGGUCCAAUCUGGGGCAGAAAUUAAGAAGCCCGGCGAGUCUGUGAAGCUAUCCUGUAAAACCUCAGGCUUCACUUUCACUUCUUACUAUAUGGAUUGGAUCAGGCAAACUCCUGGGAAAGGACUGGUUUGGCUUGGAGGGAUUGACCCUGAAGAUGGUGCUACUAGCUAUGACGACUCCGUGAAAAACAGAGUCACCAUCUCGACAGAUAACUCCAUCAGCACCGUGUAUGUGCAACUCCGCAGCCUGAGGGUGGAAGACACGGCUGUGUAUUACUGUGCAAGAGACACAGUCCGGCUGAUCACGGUGCCCACUGUCCGCAGUUUGCUGCUCCGGGCCAAUGGGAGCCUCUGA